rnacentral:rRNA from 1 species
GACGAACGCUGGCGGCGUGCCUAAUACAUGCAAGUCGAACGAGAGCGACCGGUGCUUGCACUGGUCAAUCUAGUGGCGCACGGGUGAGUAACACGUGGGUAACCUGCUCAUCAGAGGGGGAUAACAUCCGGAAACGGAUGCUAAAACCGCAUAGGUCUUCGAGCCGCAUGGCUUGAAGAGGAAAAGAGGCGCAAGCUUCUGCUGAUGGAUGGACCCGCGGUGCAUUAGCUAGUUGGUGAGGUAACGGCUCACCAAGGCCGUGAUGCAUAGCCGACCUGAGAGGGUGAUCGGCCACAUUGGGACUGAGACACGGCCCAAACUCCUACGGGAGGCAGCAGUAGGGAAUCUUCCGCAAUGGACGCAAGUCUGACGGAGCAACGCCGCGUGAGUGAAGAAGGUGUUCGGAUCGUAAAACUCUGUUGUUAGAGAAGAACAAGUGCUAGAGUAACUGUUAGCGCCUUGACGGUAUCUAACCAGAAAGCCACGGCUAACUACGUG